rnacentral:rRNA from 1 species
GGGGAAUGCCUUGGCUCUCAGAGGCGAAGAAGGACGUGUUAAGCUGCGAAAAGCUGCGGGGAGUUGCACAAAAGCUGUGAUCCGCAGAUAUCCGAAUGGGGCAACCCAGCUGGUUGAAGACCAGUUACCAUUUAAUGGAGCGAACCCGGGGAACUGAAACAUCUAAGUACCCGUAGGAAAGGACAUCAACCGAGACUCCGUCAGUAGCGGCGAGCGAACGCGGACCAGGCCAGUGGCCAUCGAGAGAAGAAGCGGAACAGGUUGGAAAGCCUGGCAAGAGUGGGUGAUAGCCCCGUACGCAUAAUGUCUCCGAUGGUCCUCGAGUAGGGCGGGACACGUGAAAUCCUGUCUGAAAUUAGGGGGACCACCCUCUAAGCCUAAGUACUCGUGCAUGACCGAUAGCGAACAAGUACCGUGAGGGAAAGGUGAAAAGCACCCCGAUUAGGGGAGUGAAACAGUACCUGAAACCGAAUGCUUACAAGCAGUUGGAGCCCCAUAGGGGGUGACAGCGUACCUCUUGCAUAAUGGGUCAGUGACUUAAUUUAUCGAGCAAGCUUAAGCCGUUAGGUGUAGGCGUAGCGAAAGCGAGUCUGA